UACAGAGACUGCGAGCGUUAUUCGGAUUCACUGGGCGUAAAGGGUGCGCAGGCGGCCAAGUGUGUGAGGCGUGAAAGCCCGGGGCUUAACCCCGGAAUUGCACCUCAAACUACAUGGCUAGAGCAUUGGAGAGGUAGCGGAAUUCUCGGUGUAGCGGUGAAAUGCGUAGAUAUCGAGAGGAACACCUGCGGCGAAGGCGGGUUGCUGGGCUGACACUGACGCUGAGGCGCGAAAGCCAGGGAGCGAACAGG
rnacentral:rRNA from 1 species